ACACAUGCAAGUCGAACGCAGUAGCAAUACUGAGUGGCAGACGGGUGAGUAACAUGCGGGAAUCUGCCUUGUGGUUCAGGACAACAUUGGGAAACCGAUGCUAAUACUGGAUAAGCCCUUACGGGGAAAGUUUUAAUGCCAUAAGAUGAGCCCGCAUUUGAUUAGUUAGUUGGUGAGGUAAUGGCUCACCAAGACAAUGAUCAAUAGCUGAUCUGAGAGGAUGAUCAGCCACACUGGGACUGAGACACGGCCCAGACUCCUACGGGAGGCAGCAGUGGGGAAUCUUGCACAAUGGAGGAAACUCUGAUGCAGCGAUGCCGCGUGAGUGAAGAAGGCCUUUGGGUUGUAAAGCUCUUUUGUAGGGGAAGAUAAUGACUGUACCCUAAGAAUAAGGUCCGGCUAACUUCGUGCCAGCAGCCGCGGUAAUACGAAGGGACCUAGCGUAGUUCGGAAUUACUGGGCGUAAAGCGCGCGUAGGCCGUUGAGUUAGUUAAUUGUGAAAUCCCAAAGCUUAACUUUGGAACUGCAAUUAAAACUGCUCGACUAGAGUUUGAUAGAGGAAAGCGGAAUACAUAGUGUAGAGGUGAAAUUCGUAGAUAUUAUGUAGAACACCAGUUGCGAAGGCGGCUUUCUGGAUCAACACUGACGCUGAGGCGCGAAAGUAUGGGUAGCAAAGAGGAUUAGAUACCCUCGUAGUCCAUACCAUAAACGAUGAUUGCUAGAUGUUGGAAAUUUAUUUUCAGUAUCGCAGCUAACGCAUUAAGCAAUCCGCCUGGGGAGUACGACCGCAAGGUUAAACUCAAAUGAAUUGACGG
rnacentral:rRNA from 1 species